GACGAACGCUGGCGGCGUGCUUAACACAUGCAAGUCGAACGGAAAGGCCCUGCUUUUGUGGGGUGCUCGAGUGGCGAACGGGUGAGUAACACGUGAGUAACCUGCCCUUGACUUUGGGAUAACUUCAGGAAACUGGGGCUAAUACCGGAUAUGAGCUCCUGCUGCAUGGUGGGGGUUGGAAAGUUUCGGCGGUUGGGGAUGGACUCGCGGCUUAUCAGCUUGUUGGUGGGGUAGUGGCUUACCAAGGCUUUGACGGGUAGCCGGCCUGAGAGGGUGAACGGCCACAUUGGGACUGAGGUACGGGCCAGACUCCUACGGGAGGGAGCAGUGGGGAAUAUUGCACCAUGGGCGGAAGCCUGAUGCAGCAACGCCGCGUGCGGGAUGACGGCCUUCGGGUUGUAAACCGCUUUCGCCUGUGACGAAGCGUGAGUGACGGUAAUGGGUAAAGAAGCACCGGCUAACUACGUG
rnacentral:rRNA from 1 species